rnacentral:misc_RNA from 1 species
UUUCCUUAGUUGAACCUGCGGAAGGAUCAUUACUGUAGGAUCUGUGGCCCUCGUGGUUGCAGAACCGAACCCUUCUACCCUUGUCUAUGAGCACCUCUCGUUUCCUCGGCGGGUUCGCCCGCCAGAGGACCUACCUAAAACCCUUUGCAAUACCUGCAGUACUGUCUGAUAGCGAAAGCAAUUUAAAUCAAAACUUUCAACAACGGAUCUCUUGGUUCUGGCAUCGAUGAAGAACGCAGC